rnacentral:misc_RNA from 1 species
UUAACUAUUAUAUAGUACUCAGACGACACUAAUAUUCAGAGUUUGGGGUCCUCUGGCGGGCGCUUACCAGCCGGAGCCGGUAGCCUGACCGAGAUCUGACGGCCCGCCAAAGCAACAAAGGUAAUAAUAACAUAGGGUGGGAGGUCUACCCGUAAGGGCAUGAACUCGGUAAUGAUCCCUCCGCAGGUUCACCUACGGAGA